rnacentral:rRNA from 1 species
UACGUAGGGGGCGAGCGUUGUCCGGAGUUACUGGGCGUAAAGGGCACGCAGGCGGUCAUGUAAGUCUGUUCUGACAGCUCCUGGCUCAACCGGGAGAGGCGAACGGAAACUGUAUGACUUGAGGACUUCAGAGGGACACGGAAUUCCGGGUGUAGCGGUGAAAAUGCGUAGAUAUCUGGAGGAAUACCGGUGGCGAAGGCGGCAUCCUGGACCGGCAUUGACGCUGAGGAGCGAAAAGCAUGGGGGAGCGAACAGG